CUUAACUGCACAGCCUGGGCCUGGUUAGUACUUGGAUGGGAGACUUCCUGGGAAUACCUGGGGCUGUUAGUG
rnacentral:rRNA from 1 species